UGGACAGCUAAUACAUGUAAGAGAUAACACUUUGAAUGUGUUCAGAUAAAAAGUGUUUUUUAUAAAUUCACGUGGAUGCACAGUCAAAAAAGAUUUAGAGGCUAAUGUGGCCCUCUUGAAAGACCAGUUUUAGAGUUAUUUGCUUUUAACAAAGAUACACAUUUAAUCUGUUUGCUUAUCAUGGCACACCAGAGUCAGGAAUCUUCCACACACUGUUACAUGUAUGCACACAAAGGUCCUUGCACAUACUGCAUACUUUUACAGGUAUGGAGGCAUUAGUUUACAUAGGCAACCCAUACAUGUUUGGCACAUGCGUCUUAUUCAACAUAACCUGACACCCCAACCCCGAUUUAUAAAUAUCACCUUUCACAAAAAACACCUAAUAGCUUACUUGGCUUUGAACUGGUCUGACGAAUGGACUAUUUUAUAAUAAGAUACUUUUUUUUUGGAAAGGUUUUUACAGAAAGAAAGAUAACUAUUUGUAUUAUUAUAUCUUUUGAUAUUUCAAUGUUGAUUGAUUUUGUAUAUACUGUAUAAUGUAUCUUAUCUUGUGUAACUCAUGAAUAAAUAUGGUGUGUUUUUCAA